UCGUUCGUGGUGUUGUGGUCAGCACGCUGGGCGCUUAUUCCAAAGGUCCGUGGUUCGAAUCCCGGCGAAGGCA
rnacentral:tRNA from 1 species